rnacentral:rRNA from 1 species
CCUACGGGAGGCAGCAGUGAGGAAUAUUGGUCAAUGGACGAGAGUCUGAACCAGCCAAGUAGCGUGAAGGAUGACUGCCCUAUGUGUUGUAAACUUCUUUUAUAUGGGAAUAAAAUGUUCCACGUGUGGGAUUUUGUAUGUACCAUAUGAAUAAGGAUCGGCUAACUCCGUGCCAGCAGCCGCGGUAAUACGGAGGAUCCGAGCGUUAUCCGGAUUUAUUGGGUUUAAGGGGAGCGUAGGUGGAUGUUUAAGUCAGUUGUGAAAGUUUGCGGCUCAACCGUAAAAUUGCAGUUGAAACUGGCAGUAUUGAGUACAGUAGAGGUGGGCGGAAUGCGUGGUGUAGCGGUGAAAUGCUUAGAUAUCACGAAGAACUCCGAUUGCGAAGGCAGUUCACUGGACUGCAACUGACACUGAGGCUCGAAAAUGUGGGUAUCAAACAGGAUUAGAUACCCUGGUAGUC